GCCAAGAUAGUUAAAGGGUAUAACAGUGGUUUCGUAAACCACCAUUCCGGGUUCGAUUCCCGGUCUUGGCU
rfam:Bacteroidetes bacterium GWF2_49_14 gwf2_scaffold_475, whole genome shotgun sequence.